UACGUAGGUGGCAAGCGUUGUUCGGAAUUAUUGGGCGUAAAGGGCGCGUAGGCGGCCAGGUAGGUCUGGUGUGAAAACUCGAGGCUUAACCUCGAGAUGUCAUCGGAAACCAUCUGGCUAGAGUCCGGAAGAGGAGAGUGGAAUUCCUGGUGUAGCGGUGAAAUGCGCAGAUAUCAGGAAGAACACCAAUGGCGAAAGCAGCUCUCUGGGACGGUACUGACGCUGAGACGCGAAAGCGUGGGGAGCGAACAGG
rnacentral:rRNA from 1 species